rnacentral:rRNA from 1 species
GGGGAUCGAAAGACCUCAUGCUUUUGGAGCGGCCGAUGUCUGAUUAGCUAGUUGGUAGGGUAAUGGCCUACCAAGGCGACGAUCAGUAGUUGGUCUGAGAGGAUGGCCAGCCACACUGGGACUGAGACACGGCCCAGACUCCUACGGGAGGCAGCAGUGGGGAAUUUUGGACAAUGGGCGAAAGCCUGAUCCAGCAAUGCCGCGUGAGUGAAGAAGGCCUUCGGGUUGUAAAGCUCUUUCAGUUGAGAAGAAAAAAUUGUGACUAAUACUUGCAAUUCAUGACAGUAUCAACAGAAGAAGCACCGGCUAACUACGUGCCAGCAGCCGCGGUAAUACGUAGGGUGCAAGCGUUAAUCGGAAUUAUUGGGCGUAAAGGGUGCGCAGGCGGUUUUGUAAGUCAGAUGUGAAAUCCCCGGGCUUAACCUGGGAAUUGCGUUUGAAA